GGUGGCUCAGUGGUAUAGCGCUUGCCUUGAAUGCAUGAGGCCCUGGGUUCAAUUCCUCAGCACCA
rfam:Dipodomys ordii contig_31244, whole genome shotgun sequence.